UCCCAAGCUAUUGGGGCUGUAUAUGUCAAGGUCAAUAUUUUGAAUUGGGCUCCUUGGCCUCUUGGCAGUCAGGACAGAUGCUUCAAAACUGGUGUCAUAUAUGCCCAGGCUGCUGACUCUGUUAGCAUCCAUGCAGUCAUCUACUGCUCUAGCUACAGUUUCUAAACCACCUUAACAUGUAGCCCUAUGCAGAGUACAUUACAGUAAUCAAGGUGGGAAGUUACUAGCGAGAGACCCAGUGCCUGCAGGAAGGAGAACAUCGCCACCCAGGGAAGGAGAGCCUGCUGUUGCUGCUGCUGUUGGAACACCACCUCCACCACCCUUCCCUGUGGGACUUCUGCCUGGCAGACGUGCAUCUUGCAGGACCAGGCCCCAGGUACCCAGCCAGCUGUGACUGAUUUCCACCACCUGUCCCUCUUUGGAGGGAUACAUAAGCCGGCUGGCUGAGGUGGCCUGGGAGACCCAGUGCCUGCAGGAAGGAGAACAUCGCCACCCAGGGAAGGAGAGCCUGCUGUUGCUGCUGCUGUUGGAACACCACCUCCACCACCCUUCCCUGUGGGACUUCUGCCUGGCAGACGUGCAUCUUGCAGGACCAGGCCCCAGAUACCCUUUCUUGCUCAAAAGAGUUCUGUGAAGCUGGAUGUUCAAACAAGUAUGCUAAGAAGAAGUUGUGCCAAUGGAAGGAAUCAAUUACAUCGCCUCUUAUUUUUUGUUUCGGGACCAACACAGCAGAAAGAGACCCAAGAAAGCAAGUAUUGACUACUGAAUAUAUAGGUUACUGAAGAUUUAGCUGUCUUUCUUUUGGCACCUUCCACAACAGAAGGAGUCCCUUCUUCAAGCUGAAAACCUCUUAGUUGGUCAAUGGAACUGCAGUUACUGUCUGGGGAAGAGUCUUCAUCAGUUGGCUUCACAGUCUUCUAGGAAAAAUGAAAUAAAAGCACAAACCAUUUAUUUAUUAAGAGAUGCAUCCCUAUUGUGGGGCUAUAGCCUUUGUACAACUUGUAUCAACUUAGUCUUGAAAGGUUAAAAACUAAAGUUGAUAAUGGGGCAAAAUUUUAUCAUAAAAUAUCCUUCUUAUUAGAGUUGGAGGUAGGGUUUCCAGUGUAGGACUGGCAGGAGUUAACUUGUGCAAUUGGCAUAAAAUGAACCAAUAUUGCUGUUUUUCAUUCAAAAAUGGAAAUACUGCCACACUGGAUGGCAUUGGGAUGACUUGGUGAUAAAAUGGGAAACACAUAUCUAAAGUAUUAUAGCAAAUAUGUGCUGAGUUCACAUACUGCAGUGUACAUGUGUACAAUUCUGGACUGUAUCAUUUGUGUGUGUGAAGUGGUGUAUGUCACUGAGGGAGCUGUUGCAAUUUCUUGAAAGUAGGGCUCAUUUCAAGUACAACCUUCCAAUUCUCCUGCUACAGUCACGAGCAAGAAACCUGGAUAUUGGUCCAACAUAUUUCUCUUACUUUAGAUAGCACCAGUGAAAUGGGACCACCGCUCUGCUCCAGACUCUGUCUUUUAGCUGUAGGUUCCUCUUCAGUGGGAGGUGUAGUGGAAGGAACACACUUUUGGGAACUCCGCUUCUGACAGUUAACUGAAGACUCAUCUGCUUCUGAUGGGCAGGGUGAAGCUUGGCCCUUAAGGUCUCCAUUCCCCUUUUCUGGAAGGCUUUCUCUCAAGAGACUUUCAUGAAGACUGCCACACAGCAUAUACAGAGGUGGAGACGGCAAGUAAACAAAAGGUUGGUUGGGGAGCACAGUGGUUUUCCCAGUCUCAGUUUUGGAAGCUGACAGAGCAGUUAAUGGCAAACCCUGGUCAUUUAUUCCAUUUGGUGCAGACAGAUGUGAUGUGUCUGAGUUGGCAUUUGAGGAGAGGGCUGGAAAGGUGUUAAGACAAUAGUCUGAGUCUCCUGGGACAGGGAGAACAGAGAACGGAGAAGUGAUGCCCCAGUUUCUUGCUGCUUCAAUGACAAAACCUUUACUAUAAAGACAAAGGAAGAUAGUUAGUCCAGAACUAUGACACAAACUAUUGUUCUACUCAUGUAACGUGAUUUAUUGCAACAGCUUUGGAGGGAACUAAAUCAUCAAAAGGUUUGGAUACAUGGAUCUAAUUUCUCCGGUUUAUGAUUGGGGGGAAAUAUAAUGAAUUGUAACAGGAAGAUUCAGAUAUGGAUACUAUGGAUAGGCCAGUGGAAGGCCUGUUCAAAUUUUCAGAAAUGCUGUGAAGGAUUUUGCACCAGAAGGGUGAUAUAUAAAUGUUUUAAUAAAUAAAUUAAAAAAACCCAAUCAGCUCCUUCACUAAAUGACAAGGCUAAUUAAAAACCUGU